GACAGAGGGGGCAAGCGUUGCUCGGAAUUACUGGGCGUAAAGGGCGCGUAGGCGGGAUGGCAAGUCGGUCGUGAAAUCCUUCGGCUCAACCGAAGAACGUCGAUCGAUACUGCUGUUCUUGAGGGUUGCAGAGGAGACUGGAAUUCCCGGUGUAGCGGUGAAAUGUGUAGAGAUCGGGAGGAACACCGGUGGCGAAGGCGGGUCUCUGGGCAAUUCCUGACGCUGAGACGCGAAAGCGUGGGGAGCGAACAGG
rnacentral:rRNA from 1 species